GUGCUCUUAUAAAAGACUCAAAAGGGCUAGCGCUCUCUCUCUCUCUCUCUCUCUCUCUCUUUCUCUCUCAAUCCCUCUCCCUCCGCCUCACCCCCUACUCCAUGUGAGGAUACAGUGAGAAGGUGGCCAUCUACAAGCCAGGAAGAGGACUCUCAUCGUGAACUGAAUCUGCCAACACCAAGAUCUUGGACUUCCCGGCCUCCAGAACUGUGACAAAUGAAUGCUUGUUUAAGCAUUUUAAGUCACCUAGUCCAUGGUACUUUGUUAUAGCAGCCCAAACAGACUAAGACAGAAAUCCAAGAUCCCCCUGCACUACAGCAUCAGACAGUGAGGCUGCUGUCUCUCCUGUCUCCUCCACGUUGCCCAGGAAUUCUCCAGAGGUUGCCUUAAGUGCAUCAAGAAUUGGUCUCGGUCCUCACUCGCUGUUAAGCUAGCCGGCCCAGCACUCCGAACUGCUGAGAAAAAGCCCUGUGAGGACACCGUGAGAAGGUGGUGGUCUGCAAGCCAGGAAGGGGAGCCUCAUUGGAAACCAGCCCUGGCAAUUCGAUCUUGCUUGAACUUGUGGCCUCCAGAACCAUGAGAAAUAGAUUCCUAUUGUUUAAGCCACCCUGUGUAUGGCAUUCUGUUAUGGCAGCCCAAGGAGACAAUGUGGUACUGAAUCAAGCAUCCAGGGACAGUUUACCUUGCCAGAAAAGGGCGCAGAAAGAUCUUCUGGGGCUAAGCAGAAGCAGACACUGAUGCAGAAGUUCUAACUGGGACUCUGAAUCAAGGUUAUGGUAAAGACCUCAGGGAUCUUGGGAAGAUCAUUGGACAUGCUUUGUUCCUUAAUGAGGGAGACAGAUAUGGGCGCUAAACUCCAGGAGAUGCUCCAUUCCUUACCUGCAUCAACUCUCUCCAAGGCUAUCCUUAGGUCCUCAUCUGCCUUGAAUUUGGGAAGUCAAGACUUCCAGAAACCUUCAGGCAGGAGUCUGCCCCAGGAGGCUGGCCUCAUGGCAGCUACUCUCCAUUCUUCCCCAUCAGCCUUCUGACACCACCACAUCCCCAAGGCCUGGCACAGCACCAGGCAUGUGAAGUGGAAUCCAGAGCAGCAGAUAGGACUUUUCCUUUUUACCAUGCACACUUGCUGUAUUCAUCAAGUGUCACUUUGGUGCUCGGCACUGUGCUAGUGCAGCAGCCUGGGAACUCAGGAUAAUGGAUCCUCGAACAUGCAUAAUGCAGGAUGGAAAAGCAUCUUUCUCCUCUGGGGCUGGCAAUGUAAUUUCAUACUAAAUUUACUGCGGUUUAUGUAAUUCUUUUCAUUCACACCAGAAGGAGUUUCUUUGCUGCUUCCCUUUUCAGAAACUUGGAGACCAUAUAUCUUUGCAAAGUAGAUUUUUAAAAAUAAAACAGAGAAGAAAAACCAGAGAAGCCCUUAAGUUUCCGGCCUUCUGCCUGGACCAGCUUAUUAUGCUUCUUCCUUUCCAGAAUUGAUAUGGUAAAUGUUAAUGCAGUAGCACUGGCUCUGAAAAGCCUAGGUCUUCCAAGAAAGCAACAUUCAAGGAGGAAUUCUGCAGCUUCCUCUCCUCUGGGGAGUUGGAGGAGCCAGAGGUUGGGGAAAAGACAGAGACAGAAUUGCCCCAUCAGUGACUUUCAGGAGAAUGUGAACAGGUGACACAGAUCUUAUGUCCAUGAGUCCCUACUCUUUUUCCACUGUCUGUCUCCUGAGCCAUCUCUGAUUCCUUCAAAGGCCUUUGCUGGCAGUGUCCAAAGUGUCCAAGCUCCUAUGUCUCCUGGAAGAAUCUACCUCUUUCUGCUCCUCAAUGAAGGAAGGACAGAGCCAGGAGAUGGAGCAGAAGAGGGGCAGGCCAAGCUCACCAGAGGGCAUAUGUCCUGGAUACUGGGAUCCUAGCCAGUCUGGACGUUGGUCCUUUCAAAAUCCUCACCACCACAUUUCUAAUACUGGGAAUAUCGAUCUUGAGCUGAACUUAGAAUAAAAUCCUCCCUCAAAUUGCACAAAGCCCUGUAAGCAGCUUCCUCCAGCCCUUUUUCCAACCCCAUCAGAUGCCAUCGCCUAUCACACCUGGGCACAGUGAUGUCGUUUCUGCUUCUUUAACACACCAGGCUCUUUCCUGCCUUCGUGGAAGCCAUCCCCUUUACUUGGAAGUCUGUGUUGUAUACAUCAGCUGGCUCCUCAAGCUUUGCAUGGGAACCUAAUUGUCUUCUCGUCAGAGAGGUCUCCCCGACCACCCUUUCUACAGCAGAUCUCCCCCACCUCCCAUUCCCUCACAUGUUAAAUUUCCUUCAUAGUAUUUUGCACAAGUCAUGAUCUCCUUUAUGUGCAAUUUGUCUACUGUCUGAGUCCUCCACUGCAAUGUUCUCCAAGGGUGGAGACCACAUCUUUCUUGUCCCUGCUCAAUCUCCAGUGCUUAACACAGGGCUCAGACUCAACAAAUAUUUAUCAAACGGAUAACUGAAUUCCAGCUGUCUAUGGUGCACACAGACUGCGAACUCUUGAGGACAGGGGUUUCUUUCCUCUCUGCAGCCCCAGCACAUGGUGCAGAGAAGACUCUGGCACUAUUUAUGAAUAAAUGAAAUUGUCCCCCUCAUUCUGUAUUAGAGCCGUUCUACUCCUAACUCCCGUAGAGGAGUCCAUCUGAUCAACCAGAGACCAGGAAGGCAGAGGAGGCCAGGCAUGCUGCAGGCCACAUGCCAGUGUCCAAUUAUCAGGUGACAUCAUCUCCAGAUGAGUUGGAAAGAAAAUGAUUAUCGUAAACAGUCACAGCCCAUUGACUAUUUCUCUGGCAUUUAUAAUCACUGUUAGACAGCUGCGCCUGGUCCCUUUCCCACGCCUGCUCUAGAGAGCUGAGGUUUGCUGUUGGGUUUUGGUGAGGGUGUUUUUCCUGGCUCAUUGCUGGAAAAGGCUUUGGAGAGCUUCUAGUAUCUAGCCCAACCUCUCACCCUUCUCAGUCCCUCCACCCCUCCAAGGUCAAGGAACACACCAUUUCAAGAGGCAGGGCCUCCUGUCCUGCACAGCUCUGGGCUUUGUGAUUUCUUGCCCAGGUGGAAGCCAAAAAGUCCUUCCUGUGACUUCAUCUGUUGGUCUAGACUCUCCCACCUGGGACCACAUUCUAAGGAUGGCCCCAUAGACAUAUAAGAUGAUACUGGGUCUUUCUGUGGCCCCAGCGAUUAUUCUACCCCAGUGACACUUCCUGUUCCUUUGUCACUGCUGUUCAUUUCUUCUUUCCUGUGGGCCCCAGGCCUCUCCAAGGGGGCCUCUGUUCACACUGGCUGGCAUGCUCUUGCCCCAAACCCAAUCAGUAGGAAGUGGGAACCCAGUAUCUCAAAUUCCCUCUGUUGUGUUUAAGGUACCUUCCCUACCCCUAGGGUUGCAGAAGGAAGGAGGAGUUAUUUUGCUUCCUUGAUCAGGGGUGAUCAAGAAACCAAAAAUGAUGAAGUUUCAGAAUCCUACUAUCUUUUUACACAUCAUGGUCCCGAACCUGUAACUGCCCUUCUUGCUAAGAUGGUAACUGGGCACCUCAUUGAGGAACGACUUUUACUAUCUUGAGGGUGGGAUUUGUAACAGUCCCCUUUCUUCUAACUCUUCCCUCUUAGGCCCCUCACUCUGGAAGAUGUUGCUAUUAGGUGUGCCUUAGUCUCAGGUGGGCAGUUUGCUUCUUCAAGUGGCUUUAAAUUGGGGAGCAGCCAACCCUUGCCUUUAUCUCUAAGGAAUAGCACAGCUGUGGGGAUUUCCUUAUAGUCCCGACCCUCCUCUUAGGAGAGGUUAGCAGCCCUUGUCCCCAAAUCAUUCUCAUGUGCCAUGGUCUCAAGUCCCUUCUCCUGCCUGACAGUUUCCCUCUGGUCAUUCUUUAGCCCAUCAGUGUCAGGAAUAAUAAUAAUGGAUUGUUGUUAUGAGAUUAAGCCAGUGAUAUAAGAAUACCCAAAUCCUGCCUUCAAACAAUCUGUAUCUCCAUAUGUUGGCUUGUUUGCUUGUUUCUUUC